UACGUAGGGGGCAAGCGUUGUCCGGAAUCAUUGGGCGUAAAGCGCGUGUAGGCGGUCCGGUAAGUCCGCUGUGAAAGUCGGGGGCUCAACCCUCGGAUGCCGGUGGAUACUGUCGGGCUUGAGUACGGAAGAGGCGAGUGGAAUUCCUGGUGUAGCGGUGAAAUGCGCAGAUAUCAGGAGGAACACCAAUUGCGAAGGCAGCUCGCUGGGACGGUACUGACGCUGAGACGCGAAAGCGUGGGGAGCAAACAGG
rnacentral:rRNA from 1 species